GCAGUUUACACUCAUCUUGCUUGUAAGACAUCUUUUUGCAGCGCUUACAAGUGACAUGGAAGAUUAUCCAUUUACAAUUCUUACUGUGUUUAUAUUAAGGGCAAGGGGAAUUAUUGUGCCCAUGUACAUAAUAAUUAGGACAAUUGGAGGCAUACAUAGUAGUAUUCACCGCCACUAUCAUCAGGAUUCUAACGAUAAUGACACAUCGACAAUAUCUGAUGGAGAUGAUGAAAAAAAUGAGACAAGCCAGGAUGAAGAUUUAGGAUAUUCAUAGUUAUGGUUAUCAUGGUAUGCUUUAAUUGUAUCGGAGCAUUGUGCUAAUGCCCUUGUCAAAUUGCGACGUUUUGGUGUGCCACAAAUUCUUUAUUAUAAUCAAAAGAAUGAAACUUAGAUAGAAAUGCAAUUUAUCUACUGCCAUAGUUUUUACUGUCUCAAGUUUUAUCCUAGUGUCUAUUAAUCCAACAACAACAAUAAUUUAAAAGAAAAAUAUUAA